CUCAGGGAUCAGCCAUGGAUCUAAAAAUGGUUUGCUACAAGAAUUAAGUUCUGUUUCACUUUCUGGCAUCUCACCAGUGUCACAUACUUGGGUAACUGCAACAUCUUCCUUAGGCAUCAGAGGUGGAUCCAAGAACUGUUUGCUGCAAGAAUUAGGUUCUGAUUCACUUUCUGACACAUUACUGGUGUUACGUGCUUGGGUAACAGAAACAUCUUCCUUAGGCAUCAGUGGUGGAUACAACAACAAUGGUUUGCUGAAAGAAUCAAGUUCUGCUUCACUUUCUGGCAUGUCACCAGUGUCACAUACUUGUGUAACUGCAACAUCUUCCUUAGGCAUCAGAGGUGGAUCCAACAAUCGUUUGCUGCAAGAAUUAGGUUCUGAUUCACUUUCUGGCACAUUACCAGUGUUACAUACUCCUGUUACUGCAACAUCUUCCUUAGGCAUCAGAGGUGGAUCCCACAAUGGUUUGCUGCAAGAAUUAACUUCUGCUUCACUUUCUGGCACAUUACCAGUGUUAGAUACUCGUGUAACUGCAACAUCUUCCUUAGGCAUCAGAGGUGGAUCCCACAAUGGUUUGCUGCAAGAAUUAAGUUCUGCUUCACUUUCUGGCACAUUACCAGUCUUACAUUCUGGUGUAACUGCAACAUCUACUUUAGGCAUCAGUGGUGGAUCCAACAAUAUCU
rnacentral:lncRNA from 1 species